GACGAACGCUGGCGGCGUGCUUAACACAUGCAAGUCGAACGGCAAGGCCCUGCUUUUGUGGGGUGCUCGAGUGGCGAACGGGUGAGUAACACGUGAGUAACCUGCCCUUGACUUUGGGAUAACUUCAGGAAACUGGGGCUAAUACCGGAUAGGAGCUCCUGCUGCAUGGUGGGGGUUGGAAAGUUUCGGCGGUUGGGGAUGGACUCGCGGCUUAUCAGCUUGUUGGUGGGGUAGUGGCUUACCAAGGCUUUGGCGGGUAGCCGGCCUGAGAGGGUGACCGGCCACAUUGGGACUGAGAUACGGCCCAGACUCCUACAGGAGGCAGCAGUGGGGAAUAUUGCACAAUGGGCGGAAGCCUGAUGCAGCAACGCCGCGUGCGGGAUGACGGCCUUCGGGUUGUAAACCGCUUUCGCCUGUGACGAAGCGUGAGUGACGGUAAUGGGUAAAGAAGCACCGGCUAACUACGUG
rnacentral:rRNA from 1 species